rnacentral:rRNA from 1 species
CACGGAGGGCGCGAGCGUUGUUCGGAAUCACUGGGCGUAAAGCGCGUGUAGGCGGCCGAGCAAGUCGGAUGUGAAAUCCCGAGGCUCAACCUCGGAACUGCAUUCGAAACUGCUCGGCUCGAGUCCCGGAGAGGAUAGCGGAAUUCCCGGUGUAGGGGUGAAAUCCGUAGAUAUCGGGAGGAACACCAGUGGCGAAGGCGGCCAUCUGGACGGUGACUGACGCUGAGACGAGAAAGCGUGGGGAGCAAACAGG